rnacentral:rRNA from 1 species
UAUGAAGAAGGCCUUAGGGUUGUAAAGUACUUUCAACAAGAAAGAAAUAAUAAAAUUUAAUAAAUUUUAUUACUGACGUUACUUGUAAAAGAAGCACCGGCUAACUCCGUGCCAGCAGCCGCGGUAAUACGGAGGGUGCGAGCGUUAAUCGGAAUUACUGGGCGUAAAGAGCACGUAGGCGGUAUAUUAAGUCAGAUGUGAAAUCCCUGAGCUUAACUUAGGAAUUGCAUUUGAAACUGAUAUACUUGAGUUUCAUAGAGGGGGGUAGAAUUCCAGGUGUAGCGGUGAAAUGCGUAGAUAUCUGGAGGAAUACCAGUGGCGAAGGCGGCCCCCUGGAUGAAUACUGACGCUGAGGUGCGAAAGCAUGGGUAGCAAACAGGAUUAGAUACCCUGGUAGUCCAUGCUGUAAACGAUGUCGACUUGGAGGUUGUAAGCUUGACUUGUAACUUUCGUAGCUAACGCGUUAAGUCGACCGCCUGGGGAGUACGACCGCAAGGUUAAAACUCAAAUGAAUUGACGGGGGCCCGCACAAGCGGUGGAGCAUGUGGUUUAAUUCGAUGCAACGCGAAAAACCUUACCUGGUCUUGACAUCCAUGGAAUUUAGUAGAGAUACUUUAGUGCCUUCGGGAACCAUGAGACAGGUGCUGCAUGGCUGUCGUCAGCUCGUGUUGUGAAAUGUUGGGUUAAGUCCCGCAACGAGCGCAACCCUUGUCCUUUGUUGCCAACGGUUCGGCCGGGAACUCAAAGGAAACYGCCGGUGAUAAACCGGAGGAAGGUGGGGACGACGUCAAGUCAUCAUGGCCCUUACGACCAGGGCUACACACGUGCUACAAUGGUAUAUACAAAGGGAAGCAUCCUCGCGAGAGUAAGCGGAUCUCACAAAAUAUAUCGUAGUUCGGAUUGGAGUCUGCAACUCGACUCCAUGAAGUCGGAAUCGCUAGUAAUCGUAGAUCAGAACGCUACGGUGAAUACGUUCCCGGGCCUUGUACACACCGCCCGUCACACCAUGGAAGUGAGUUGUAAAAGAAGUAAGUUGCUUAACCUUUAUGGAGGGCGCUUACCACUUUGUGAUUCAUAACUGGGGUGAAGUCGUAACAAGGUAAC